rnacentral:rRNA from 1 species
CCUACGGGGGGCAGCAGUGAGGAAUAUUGGUCAAUGGACGAGAGUCUGAACCAGCCAAGUAGCGUGAAGGAUGACUGCCCUAUGGGUUGUAAACUUCUUUUAUAUGGGAAUAAAAUGUUCCACGUGUGGGAUUUUGUAUGUACCAUAUGAAUAAGGAUCGGCUAACUCCGUGCCAGCAGCCGCGGUAAUACGGAGGAUCCGAGCGUUAUCCGGAUUUAUUGGGUGUAAAGGGAGCGUAGGUGGAUUGUUAAGUCAGUUGUGAAAGUUUGCGGCUCAACCGUAAAAUUGCAGUUGAAACUGGCAGUCUUGAGUACAGUAGAGGUGUGCGGAAUGCGUGGUGUAGCGGUGAAAUGCUUAGAUAUCACGAAGAACUCCGAUUGCGAAGGCAGUUCACUGGACUGCAACUGACACUGAGGCUCGAAAGUGUGGGUAUCAAACAGGAUUAGAUACCCUGGUAGUC